rnacentral:rRNA from 1 species
AUGAACGCUGGCGGCGUGCCUAAUACAUGCAAGUCGAGCGAACAGACGAGGAGCUUGCUCCUCUGACGUUAGCGGCGGACGGGUGAGUAACACGUGGAUAACCUACCUAUAAGACUGGGAUAACUUCGGGAAACCGGAGCUAAUACCGGAUAAUAUAUUGAACCGCAUGGUUCAAUAGUGAAAGACGGUUUUGCUGUCACUUAUAGAUGGAUCCGCGCCGCAUUAGCUAGUUGGUAAGGUAACGGCUUACCAAGGCAACGAUGCGUAGCCGACCUGAGAGGGUGAUCGGCCACACUGGAACUGCGACACGGUCCAGACUCCUACGGGAGGCAGCAGUAGGGAAUCUUCCGCAAAGGGCGAAAUCCUGACGGAGCAACGCCGCGUGAGUGAUGAAGGUCUUCGGAUCGUAAAACUCUGUUAUUAGGGAAGAACAAAUGUGUAAGUAACUAUGCACGUCUUGACGGUACCUAAUCAGAAAGCCACGGCUAACUACGUG